CCUACGGGAGGCAGCAGUGAGGAAUAUUGGUCAAUGGUCGGGAGACUGAACCAGCCAAGCCGCGUGAGGGAUGAAGGUACAGAGUAUCGUAAACCUCUUUUGUCAGGGAACAAAGGCGGGGACGUGUCCCCGGAAGAGUGUACCUGAAGAAAAAGCAUCGGCUAACUCCGUGCCAGCAGCCGCGGUAAUACGGAGGAUGCGAGCGUUAUCCGGAUUUAUUGGGUUUAAAGGGUGCGCAGGCGGUCUGGUAAGGCAGCGGUCAAAGCCCGGGGGUUAACCCCGUGCCGGCGGGUGACCCUGUCAGUCUCGAUUUGGAGAGAAGUAUGCGGAAUGCGCGGUGUAGCGGUGAAAUGCAUAGAUAUCGCGCAGAACUCCGAUUGCGAAGGCAGCAUGCCGGCUCCACACUGACGUUGAGGCACGAAAGCGGGGGUAUCGAACAGGAUUAGAUACCCUAGUAGUC
rnacentral:rRNA from 1 species